UUUCCGUAGGUGAACCUGCGGAAGGAUCAUUAAAAAAUGGUACUCUAUUUGUGAGUGCAUUAAUAAUCCAUCCUACCCUUUGUGAAUUUGUUGUAUGAAAUAAUUUUUUUUAAAAAAAAUUAUUGAAUGUCUUUCCCUGUUGAAAAGUUUGGUCGUAAGACUUGAUUUUCACAGGGGAUAGUCAAUAAUUUUUUUAAAAAGACCUUUUUUUAAAUAAACUUUUUGUAUUCAUUUGUCUAAAAAUUAUUUUUAUAAUAUAAAAACAACUUUUGACAAUGGAUCUCUUGGUUCUCGCAACGAUGAAGAACGCAGCAAAAUGCGAUAAGUAGUGUGAAUUGCAGAAUACGUGAAUCAUCGAAUCUUCGAACGCAUAUUGCACUUUUUUAGUUUACUAAAAAAGUAUGUCUGUUUGAGUAUCAGUAAAAUAUUCUCAUAAAAACUUUUUUGUUUUUAUGGUUUAUGAGUGUUUUACAACGAUACAAGUUGUUUCACUUUAAAUUUUUUUUUAAAAUUUGAAUUUUUCUAAUUUUAAAUUAAAAUUGGAUAAAAUUUUCCUGUAAAAAGGAAUAAUUAAACAAUUUUAAAUUGAAUUUAGAAAAUCCAAAAUAAAAGGAAAAUUUAUUACAAAAUAACUUGAUCUCAAAUCAGAUAAGAGUACCCGCUGAACUUAAGCAUAUCAAUAAGCGGAGGAAAAGAAACUAACAAGGAUUCCCUUAGUAACGGCGAGUGAAGCGGGAAGAGCUCAAAUUUGAAAUCUUCAAGGUUUUACCUUGACGAAUUGUAGUUUAAAGAAGUGUAUUCUGUUGAAGUUUCGGUAAAAGUUCUUUGGAAUAGGACAUCAUAGAGGGUGAGAAUCCCGUAUUUGACCGUUAUUUUCAGCUGUGUGAUACACUUUCAAAGAGUCGGAUUGUUUGGGAAUGCAGUCCAAAAUGGGUGGUAAAUUUCAUCUAAAGCUAAAUACUGGCGAGAGACCGAUAGCGAACAAGUACCGUGAGGGAAAGAUGAAAAGAACUUUGAAAAGAGAGUUAAACAGUACGUGAAAUUGUCAAAAGGGAAGCGUUUGACACCAGUGUUGUUGUGGAGAAAUCAAUUGUGUGGAACGGGUUGUUGUGGGGUUGAGACCUUAUCAGCUCUCCUUACUCUUUACCUUUUUCACGCAAUGCACUUUCUCUUUAACAAGUCAACAUCAAUUUCUUUUGUUGUAAAAGGGUCAGCGGAAGGUGGCUUUCUUUUCGGAGAAAGUGUUUAUAGCCGUUGAUCUCUACAAUCGGAGAGAUUGAGGUCUGCAGCGUAGAUCCUUCGGGGUUAGAUACGUCGGUGCUAAGUUAUAAUCCUAUAUAGACAACUUGUUGACUAUAUUCGAUCUUGUAGCUUACUCGCUGGCGCUAUUUUACCUACGCUUAGGAUGUUG
rnacentral:misc_RNA from 1 species